AUUGAACGCUGGCGGCAUGAUUUACACAUGCAAGUCGAACGGUAACAGGCCGCAAGGUGCUGACGAGUGGCGAACGGGUGCGUAAUGCAUCGGAACGUGCCCAGUCGUGGGGGAUAACUACUCGAAAGAGUAGCUAAUACCGCAUACGAUCUAUGGAUGAAAGCGGGGGACCGUAAGGCCUCGCGCGAUUGGAGCGGCCGAUGUCAGAUUAGGUAGUUGGUGGGGUAAAGGCUCACCAAGCCAACGAUCUGUAGCUGGUCUGAGAGGACGACCAGCCACACUGGGACUGAGACACGGCCCAGACUCCUACGGGAGGCAGCAGUGGGGAAUUUUGGACAAUGGGCGCAAGCCUGAUCCAGCAAUGCCGCGUGCAGGAAGAAGGCCUUCGGGUUGUAAACUGCUUUUGUACGGAACGAAACGGCUCUGGUUAAUACCCGGGGCUAAUGACGGUACCGUAAGAAUAGGCACCGGCUAACUACGUG
rnacentral:rRNA from 1 species